UUGCAUCCAUUCCAAAUAUGU
rnacentral:piRNA from 1 species